CGUCGUUGCCGUAACUCGUUCGCCUGAGGAUAAUGAUCAAUUGGGUUUAUGCUAGAGUUAAAUCGGGUCUUGAAAAGAGAAGGAAGUUGCAUGCGACUCCUUUAUCUCCUCAGCACCCUAUCCAACUCUAACUUCAACCCAAUCGAUCAUUUUUCUACAGAGCUAGAGUUUUAUUGAGAUG